UCGACGCUUUGUGGUUCACUGAUUUGAAGAGCUUGCUCAGAUAUGACGAUGGACAUUGCAAAGAGUGGCGAACGGGUGAGUAACACGUGGGAAACCUACCUCUUAGCAGGGGAUAACAUUUGGAAACAGAUGCUAAUACCGUAUAACAAUGACAACCGCAUGGUUGUUAUUUAAAAGAUGGUUCUGCUAUCACUAAGAGAUGGUCCCGCGGUGCAUUAGCUAGUUGGUAAGGUAAUGGCUUACCAAGGCGAUGAUGCAUAGCCGAGUUGAGAGACUGAUCGGCCACAAUGGGACUGAGACACGGCCCAUACUCCUACGGGAGGCAGCAGUAGGGAAUCUUCCACAAUGGGCGAAAGCCUGAUGGAGCAACGCCGCGUGUGUGAUGAAGGGUUUCGGCUCGUAAAACACUGUUGUAAGAGAAGAAUGACAUUGAGAGUAACUGUUCAAUGUGUGACGGUAUCUUACCAGAAAGGAACGGCUAAAUACGUGCCAGCAGCCGCGGUAAUACGUAUGUUCCAAGCGUUAUCCGGAUUUAUUGGGCGUAAAGCGAGCGCAGACGGUUAUUUAAGUCUGAAGUGAAAGCCCUCAGCUCAACUGAGGAAUUGCUUUGGAAACUGGAUGACUUGAGUGCAGUAGAGGAAAGUGGAACUCCAUGUGUAGCGGUGAAAUGCGUAGAUAUAUGGAAGAACACCAGUGGCGAAGGCGGCUUUCUGGACUGUAACUGACGUUGAGGCUCGAAAGUGUGGGUAGCAAACAGGAUUAGAUACCCUGGUAGUCCACACCGUAAACGAUGAGUGCUAGGUGUUUGAGGGUUUCCGCCCUUAAGUGCCGCAGCUAACGCAUUAAGCACUCCGCCUGGGGAGUACGACCGCAAGGUUGAAACUCAAAGGAAUUGACGGGGACCCGCACAAGCGGUGGAGCAUGUGGUUUAAUUCGAAGCAACGCGAAGAACCUUACCAGGUCUUGACAUCCCUUGACAACUCCAGAGAUGGAGCGUUCCCUUCGGGGACAAGGUGACAGGUGGUGCAUGGUUGUCGUCAGCUCGUGUCGUGAGAUGUUGGGGUUAAGUCCCGCAACGAGCGCAACCCUUAUUACUAGUUGCCAGCAUUCAGUUGGGCACUCUAGUGAGACUGCCGGUGACAAACCGGAGGAAGGUGGGGAUGACGUCAAAUCAUCAUGCCCCUUAUGACCUGGGCUACACACGUGCUACAAUGGCGUAUACAACGAGUUGCCAACCCGCGAGGGUGAGCUAAUCUCUUAAAGUACGUCUCAGUUCGGAUUGUAGGCUGCAACUCGCCUACAUGAAGUCGGAAUCGCUAGUAAUCGCGGAUCAGCACGCCGCGGUGAAUACGUUCCCGGGUCUUGUACACACCGCCCGUCACACCAUGAGAGUUUGUAACACCCAAAGCCGGUGG
rnacentral:rRNA from 1 species